CCCUUAGAUGUUCUGGGCCGCACGCGCGCUACACUGACGAAGUCAGCGAGCAUGUCCUACGCCGACAGGUGCGGGGAAUCUUGUCAAACUUCGUCGUGAUGGGGAUUGAUUAUUGAAAUUCUUGAUCAUCAACGAGGAAUUCCUAGUAAGCGCAAGUCAGCAGCUUGCGUUGAUUACGUCCCUGCCCUUUGUACACACCGCCCGUCGCUACUACCGAUUGAAUGGUUUAGUGAGAUCUUCGGAUUGGCGCCACUGCGGCUCAGCAAUGUGCUCGGUGGAUGCCGAAAAGUUGAUCAAACUUGAUCAUUUAGAGGAAGUAAAAGUCGUAACA
rnacentral:rRNA from 1 species